GACGAACGCUGGCGGCGUGCUUAACACAUGCAAGUCGAACGGAAAGGCCCUGCUUUUGUGGGGUGCUCGAGUGGCGAACGGGUGAGUAACACGUGAGUAACCUGCCCUUGACUUUGGGAUAACUUCAGGAAACUGGGGCUAAUACCGGAUAGGAGCUCCUGCUGCAUGGUGGGGGUUGGAAAGUUUCGGCGGUUGGGGAUGGACUCGCGGCUUAUCAGCUUGUUGGUGGGGUAGUGGCUUACCAAGGCUUUGACGGGUAGCCGGCCUGAGAGGGCGACCGGCCACAUUAGGACUGGGAUACGACCCAGACUCCUACGGGAGGCAGCAGUGGGGAAUAUUGCACAAUGGGCGGAAGCCUGAUGCAGCAACGCCGCGUGCGGGAUGACGGCCUUCGGGUUGUAAACCGCUUUCGCCUGUGACGAAGCGUGAGUGACGGUAAUGGGUAAAGAAGCACCGGCUAACUACGUG
rnacentral:rRNA from 1 species